ensembl:lncRNA
CAUACUAUUCCUCUGUUCUUCACCAUACUAUUCCUCUGUUCUUCACCAUACUAUUCCUCUGUUCUUCACCAUACUAUUCCUCUGUUCUUCACCAUACUCUCUCCAGAACACUGAUGCCUUUCUGUAGUGUUUGGGUACUUCGUUAUAUUUCAGUCCACAUUAAUAACCCUUUACAGUUCAUAGGUCAACUACAUGCUAGCUGCAUCUGGACUCCACCUUCAGUCCAGUAGACGGUGGUUUAUUACUUGCUUAGAGAAGAGCAAAUAUGUUCUAAACCAGGGGUCUGUUCAGGAGUAACAUAUUUUUUCCAAUUGAAAAAAUGUACUAAAUUAACUUGGCUAUUUAGAGAGCAAAUUUUUGUUUUCCAUUUGUGCUUUCUGAACGUAACCCAACCCAGGGUUGUUCUCUCUGUGGAUACACAGUGUUGCAGGUAGAAAUAGCAUCUAUAUAUCACAUUUCACAAGGAAAAUAGAAUGUCUUCUCUAUUAGAUGUAAAAUCUAUCUGUAACAUUGUUUCUCUGUUCCCUGUCUUCUCUAUUAGAUGUAAAAUCUAUCUGUAACAUUGUUUCUCUGUUCCCUGUCUUCUCUAUUAGAUGUAAUAUAUAUCUGUAACAUUGUUUCUCUGUUCCCUGUCUUCUCUAUAGAUUGUUUCUCCGUUCCCUGUCUUCUCUAUAGAUUGUUUCUCUGUUCCCUGUCUUCUCUAUUAGAUGUAAUAUAUAUCUGUAACAUUGUUUCUCUGUUCCCUGUCUUCUCUAUAGAUUGUUUCUCCGUUCCCUGUCUAAUAUGUGCCUCCCAAAUGGCACCCAUAGGGCUCUGGCUACAGGUUGUGCACUACAUAGGGAAUAGGGCCCUGGUUAAAGUAGUGCACUACUUAGGGAAUAGGGCUCUGGCUAAAUGUUGUGCACUACAUAGGGAAUAGGGCCCUGGUUAAAGUAGUGCACUACUUAGGGAAUAGGGCUCUGGCUAAAUGUUGUGCACUACAUCGGGAAUAGGACUCUGGUUAAAGUAGUGCACUUCAUAGGGAAUUGGGCCCCGUUUAAAGUAGUGCACUACAUCGGGAAUAGGGCUCUGGUUAAAGUAGUGCACUACAUAGGGAAUAGGGUUCUGGUUAAAGUAGUGCACUGCAUAGGGAAUAGGGUGCCAUUUGGGAUGCACCCCUGGACUAACUAACUCAGAGGUCCUGAACAGUCAUUCUGAUUCCCAUGUAAAGUAGCCUUUUGAGUGACCAAAACAUCACCCAUAAUUAUUAUUUUUUUCUCCUCUAGAAAUGCUCUGAAUGUUAAAAAAAAAUGUAAAAGUAUUUUUUUAUUUUAUGUCAAACUACCAGGAAGUCUGAAAAGACAGAUUGUGCGGGGAGAUCACCUGACGGUUCUUUGGAAACGGCCAUGUCAAGCAACAUGGACGCAGUGUUGCCAUGUUGCAGUGACAUUAUCUCAAGCAAAUUGCGUGCAACUUCCAUUCCUUUCAGACAUCACAUCAUGGUUUCAGAAAUAUAUAUAUAUUUAUUUAUUUAUUGUCAGCACCAUUUUAUAUAGCUAUCUUGGACAAUUUGAUUUGAAACGACAGGGUGGAGUCUGGGUAAACGUCAUGCAUUUUAUAUAUGUUGACUGCCAGACAAUGGUCAUAUAUCAUGACUAUGUCAAGAAGUUUGCAACGUUAAUGUAACGACAUGGCCUUUGGUGUAUUAAAAUAAGAGUUUAUUUUUGUGACCUCCUCCUGAGUCCAAGUGUUUGACAAGUGGGGGAGGGGUAUCAGUAACUUUAUGAUCCAACUUGAUCAAUGUAGAAGCAACAGUCAUUUAUCAUACAUUGGUCUUCCUACUUUGAUCUGGUUUCAACCAAAUAUCAUGAAACUUCAUGAAGAAAAAAACAAUUUUGACUGUUCAGGACCUUUAACAGAACAUGGUUUGGUGACAGGGUCUUAUUUGUAUGCUAUGUAAAUAAUACCAUUUUAUUUAUUUGAAAAGUUCAACAAUAUAUUUAUCUACAUCUGAACAAUAACAAUACAAGUCAGUGUACAUAUACGCGGAUCAACUUCCCGUCACAUGACUCUGUGGGGAUGAUGUCACUUCCUCUGUAACAGUGUCUUCUGGGUACUGUAGUACUUCACGUGUCACCGCAGUAGCUACCUGGGAAAUGCGAUGCGUUGAGUUCAACUCCUCUCCCCAGUGCACCAGUGUGUUAAAAUUGGUUGUGUAUGAUAUCUAAACCUCUGUUCAACUACAGUUUAUUAAAAUCAAUGCUGUAAAACAUACAAGCUGUUGGCCUGCGUGUAUUCAAUAGCUCUCCAUGUGUUUAUGCUAGAGAUUUAUCGUGCCAUGUCAUUGCUGCAGCCCAAUCCCCUCUUUCCGCCAAAAUGAAGUUUAUGCCUAUUCCAUAACAUGGGGGGGUUGUUUUUCUACACAUGAGAGGAUCCAGACAAGAACAUCUUCACAAAAUUGUCUGGAGAACCUGAACAGUUCGAUCUACAAAACGAAUAUGUUUGAUGAGACUCCCGAACACGAUGGUGUCAUUUGUUUCGCUCUGUGAUCUCUACAAGCUUUACUGCAGUCGUCUGAACUCUCUGAUACGGAAAGGCUCAUUUCGAAGAGGUCUUCUCAUAAAACUGACAUUCCAGGCCAAAGCGUUUGAGCUUCAGGGGUGUUGUUUUGAAGGUAACCCAGUACCAGGCUGUAAAAAAAUGGCACAACAUGGAUACGGGGUAAAAACUGCCACAAAUAAAGUGAACCGAACAUGGCUCUACAUUUUUUUUCUUCUGAGUUUAGCUCAGGGAACAGAACCCAAAAACUGUAAAAUAACUACAUCUUCAAUGAUGUCAAGAAGAUUGUUACUUGUAUAAUUAGUUUGUUACGUGUAUUUCAAACUCUUCACACCUGAGAGACAAGGACCUGAGAGACAAGGACCUGAGAGACAAGGACCUGAGAGACAAGGACCUGAGAGACAAGGACCUGAGAGAG